UACAGAGGGGGCAAGCGUUGUUCGGAAUUACUGGGCGUAAAGGACGCGUAGGCGGCCUGCUAAGUCGAACGUGAAAUCCCUGGGCUUAACCCAGGAACUGCGUCCGAUACUGGCAGGCUUGAAUCCGGGAGAGGGAUGCGGAAUUCCAGGUGUAGCGGUGAAAUGCGUAGAUAUCUGGAGGAACACCGGUGGCGAAGGCGGCAUCCUGGACCGGUAUUGACGCUGAGGCGCGAAAGCCAGGGGAGCAAACGGG
rnacentral:rRNA from 1 species